AAAAUACUGCAAAGACCUAUUUUACAUAUAAACACACUUAAAUAGACAUGCCUCAUGAUAAAGAAAACAUGACACACUUCAUCAUGUUAAAGUACAGACUGUUCCAAAACCAACAGCAUUGCAGUAUUGUGAAUAUAUCAGUGACGUUAUCAUGCACAGCAUUAUGUACAUGUUGGUAUAAAAUAUCCUCUUCACAUAUAAAGCCACAAAUCAGACUGAGAAGAGGUUUCAAUACCACUCUUCAGAACAGAUACACACAUGCAAAAAAAAAAAAAAAAAACAA